rnacentral:tRNA from 1 species
GAGGGUGUGGCUCAGGGGUAGAGCAUUUGUCUACCAGGCAUCAGACCCUGGGUUCUUCCCCCAGUACCUCA